rnacentral:rRNA from 1 species
AGAGUUUGAUCCUGGCUCAGAAUGAACGCUGGCGGCGUGCCUAACACAUGCAAGUCGGAUGUGCCGCAAGGUGCAUGGCAGACGGGUGAGUAACGCGUGGGCAAUCUACCUUUUAGUGGGGAAUAACGAUCCGAAAGGAUUGGUAAUACCGCAUGUGAUCAUCGACUGGGAUGUUGGUGAUGAAAGCCGGGGACCGCAAGGCCUGGCGCUAGGAGAGGAGCCCGCGUCUGAUUAGUUAGUUGGUGGGGUAACGGCCUACCAAGACAUCGAUCAGUAGCCGGCCUGAGAGGGUGAUCGGCCACACUGGAACUGAGACACGGUCCAGACUCCUACGGGAGGCAGCAGUGGGGAAUUUUGCGCAAUGGACGAAAGUCUGACGCAGCAACGCCGCGUGGGUGAUGAAGGUCUUCGGAUCGUAAAACCCUGUCGUCGGGGACGAAGGUGGGCUUGUUAAUAGCGAGUUUACUUGACGGUACCCGGAGAGGAAGCCCCGGCUAACUCUGUGCCAGCAGCCGCGGUAAUACAGAGGGGGCAAGCGUUAUUCGGAAUUAUUGGGCGUAAAGGGUGCGUAGGCGGUCGUUUAAGUAGGAUGUGUAAUCCCCGGGCUUAACCUGGGAACUGCGUUUGUGACUGCCAGGCUAGAGUACGGCAGAGGGGGGUGGAAUUCCACGUGUAGCAGUGAAAUGCGUGGAGAUGUGGAGGAACACCAAUGGCGAAGGCAGCCCCCUGGGUCGAUACUGACGCUCAUGCACGAAAGCGUGGGUAGCAAACAGGAUUAGAUACCCUGGUAGUCC